rnacentral:lncRNA from 1 species
AGGACAUUGAGACUUGGCAUUCCUGCGUUGUCUUGUGCUACGGGUCUUUGUCCUGUUGGAAGGUGAACCUUUGCCCCAAUCUGAGGUCCUGAGCGCUCUGGAGUAGGUUUUCAUCAAGGAUCUCUUUGUACUUUGCUCUGUUCAUCGUUGCCUCGAUCCUGACUAGUCCCCCAGUCCCUGGCACUGAAAAACAAUGCUUCAAUGCUGCAGACAUUUUUUGGUACCCUUCCCCAGAUCUGUGCCUCGACACAAUCCUGUCGAGCUCUACGGACAAUUCCUUCGACCUCUUGUCCUUCGACCUCGUGGCUUGGCUUUUGCUCUGACAUGCACUGUCUGAUGUGGGACCUUAUAUAGACAGGUGUGUGCCUUUCCAAAUCAUGUCCAAUCAAUUAGUAUUUACCACAGGUGGACUCCAAUCAAUGGAAACAGGAUGCACCUGAGCUCAAUUUCGAGUCUCAUAGCAGAGGGUCUGAAUACUUAUAUAAGUAAGGUAUCUCUGUUUUCUAUUUUUAAAACAUUUGCAAAUAUUUCCAAAAACCUGUUUUUGCUUUGUUAUUAUGGGGUAUUGUGUGUAGAUUGAGGAACAUUUUUAAUUGAAUCCAUUUUAAAAUAAGGCUUUCAAAAUGUGGAAGAGGUCAAGGGGUCUGAAUCAGUGUUGCAAACCAGUCACCUUUUGUCGAAAUUCGCCUUUUUGAAUCCAAAAUAGGUGACCUACGUGAUUCAUGUAGAUCCGAUGAGAAAAGUUUGGGGCCAAUCGUUCACAUAACAGAAUGCAGCACGCGACUGAAGAGAGACGAGACAACCAAUUUGCUAGUUACAGUAUCAGCGGAGAGUGGAAUGGUUGUUUACCAGCUACAUCAGCGCGUCCCCUGGACAAUAAUGAGGAGGUAGCGCUGCAGGAAUGGAUGUGUUUAAUAUGGCGGCCACACCGCGGCUGGAACUCCCUGUGUGAGAGACAGAGAGCGGGAGAGAGCAACAGCUCGUUUGAAGUCUGCGACUUGAGCCUCUCCUCAAACGGCAGUUCUGCAGCCGUCUCAGCCCGUUCCCUCACACACAUACACACACACUCACACACUCACCCCAAUUCCUCCUCUCACACUUUGCAUCCCACCUAGUUUUGAUCCCCUUCAUAGUUCAUACCACAGAUGACACAGUCACCGAUAAGCAACAUCAAACACUCCCAGAUGGUGGCCAUUUUGUUUUCUCCCCCAUAUCACUUUUCGGUCUCACUCCCAAACCUUGUUCACAGUGGGACAGUGAAACCGUCAGAGGGACAGAGACUCCGACUCAUGUCUUUGUUACAGAUAUGUUUAUAUUGACUACUAAAUCCAUAUGUCCUAUGUAUGAGCUCCUAUAUGUCAAUCAUUCAGGAUUUAUGUCUAUCUAUUUAGUCAUUAAACUAGACAUCUGUAUUGUCAUUGUAUUUAGACAGGCCUAGUUUAAACAUCUACUUACUCACAAAC